rnacentral:piRNA from 1 species
CAACAGUAGACUGAUUGCUGGUGGCU